rnacentral:rRNA from 1 species
UACGUAGGGUGCGAGCGUUAAUCGGAAUUACUGGGCGUAAAGGGUGCGCAGGCGGUUAUAUAAGACAGAUGUGAAAUCCCCGGGCUCAACCCAGGAAGUGCAUUCGAUACUGCGCGACUGGAGUCCCGGAGAGGAUGGUGGAACUCUCGGUGUAGAGGUGAAAUUCGUAGAUAUCGAGAAGAACACCGGUGGCGAAGGCGGCCAUCUGGACGGUGACUGACGCUGAGACGCGAAAGCGUGGGGAGCAAACAGG